AAAAAAAAAAAAAAAAACUACCUUCAAGCAUGUAUGAAAACAAUGAAGUUUAAGAACUGGAAUAUAGAGGAAUACAUCCUGACUGCAUUAAGGUAAAAUAUUUUGUGCAACAUCUUGCCAUGUAAUACAGAACUUGCAAAAUUUACUAUUAAAUCCUACUUGCAUGACUUAUAAGGAAAAUAUUUUAGCCAAAAGAGGGAAUCACCCAAGUCCUUAAUCUGAAACUGGGUCAAUAUGACAGCAGGAACAUAAGCCUCAAGUGGAUCAAGCUUUUUC
rnacentral:misc_RNA from 1 species